UGUCAGAAUGUGGAAGAAAAAGGUACAAAGCAUGUUACAUGUUCAGAACACAAGAGAAUGCAUAAUUAGGUUUUUUAUCAGCAUUAACCUAUAACUGCUUUGCAGAAGGUAUUCUGUGUAUGUAUCAUAACAGCUGCUGUUAAUGAAAGCAA